rnacentral:rRNA from 1 species
UACGAAGGGGGCUAGCGUUGCUCGGAAUCACUGGGCGUAAAGCGCACGUAGGCGGAUUGCUAAGUCAGGGGUGAAAUCCUGGAGCUCAACUCCAGAACUGCCUUUGAUACUGGCGAUCUCGAGUCCGGGAGAGGUGAGUGGAACUGCGAGUGUAGAGGUGAAAUUCGUAGAUAUUCGCAAGAACACCAGUGGCGAAGGCGGCUCACUGGCC